rnacentral:rRNA from 1 species
UGCAUAUCAAAAAGCGGAGGAAAAGAAACCAACAGGGAUUGCCUUAGUAGCGGCGAGUGAAGCGGCAAAAGCUCAAAUUUGAAAUCUGGCACUUUCAGUGUCCGAGUUGUAAUUUGAAGAAGGUAUCUUUGGGUCUGGCUCUUGUCUAUGUUUCUUGGAACAGAACGUCACAGAGGGUGAGAAUCCCGUGCGAUGAGAUGUCCCAGACCUAUGUAAAGUUCCUUCGAAGAGUCGAGUUGUUUGGGAAUGCAGCUCUAAGUGGGUGGUAAAUUCCAUCUAAAGCUAAAUAUUGGCGAGAGACCGAUAGCGAACAAGUACAGUGAUGGAAAGAUGAAAAGAACUUUGAAAAGAGAGUGAAAAAGUACGUGAAAUUGUUGAAAGGGAAGGGCUUGAGAUCAGACUUGGUAUUUUGUAUGUUACUCUCUCGGGGGUGGCCUCUACAGUUUACCGGGCCAGCAUCAGUUUGAGCGGUAGGAUAAGUGCAAAGAAAUGUGGCACUGCUUCGGUAGUGUGUUAUAGUCUUUGUCGAUACUGCCAGCUUAGACUGAGGACUGCGGCUUCGGCCUAGGAUGUUGGCAUAAUGAUCUUAAGUCGCCCGUCUU